rnacentral:snRNA from 1 species
AGUUUUGUGCAGUGGCAGUAUCGUAGCCAAUGAGGUUUAUCUGAGGCACAAUUAUUGCUAU